CGUAGGUGGCAAGCGUUGUCCGGAUUUAUUGGGUUUAAAGGGUGCGUAGGCGGUGAUUUAAGUCAGUGGUGUAAUACUUCAGCUUAACUGGAGAGGUGCCAUUGAUACUGGGUCACUUGAGUACUGAUGAGGUAGGCGGAAUGGACGGUGUAGCGGUGAAAUGCUUAGAUAUCGUCCAGAACACCGAUAGCGAAGGCAGCUUACUAAGGAGUAACUGACGCUGAGGCACGAAAGUGUGGGGAUCAAACAGGAUUAGAUACCCUGGUAGUCCACACUGUAAACGAUGAUCACUCGAUGUUGGCGAUACACAGCCAGCGUCUUAGCAAAAGCGAUAAGUGAUCCACCUGGGGAGUACGCCGGCAACGGUG
rnacentral:rRNA from 1 species